CCUACGGGAGGCCGCAGUGAGGAAUAUUGGUCAAUGGGCGGAAGCCUGAACCAGCCAAGUAGCGUGCGGGAUGAAGGCCCUACGGGUCGUAAACCGCUUUUGCACGGGGAUAACACCCUCCACUUGUGGAGGUCUGCAGGUACCGUGCGAAUAAGGGCCGGCUAAUUCCGUGCCAGCAGCCGCGGUAAUACGGAAGGGCCGAGCGUUAUCCGGAUUCAUUGGGCUUAAAGGGAGCGUAGGCGGGCGUUCAAGUCAGCUGUAAAAUCGCGCGGCUCAACCGCGCCCCGCAGUUGAAACUGGACGGCUUGAGUGCACAACAGGCAGGCGGAAUUCGUGGUGGAGCGGUGAAAUGCAUAGAUAUCACGAGGAACCCCGAUUGCGAAGGCAGCCUGCCGGGGUGCGACUGACGCUGAGGCUCGAAGGUGCGGGUAUCAAACAGGAUUAGAUACCCGAGUAGGC
rnacentral:rRNA from 1 species